ensembl:lncRNA
CCCUGCCCGGCGGGUCUGGGGUGACUUGUACCCUCGGGUGGCCGCUGGGCUGUGCUGGGGACAGAAGCGUUUCCACAGGGCUCCUGAGCACUGUACUCCUCAGCCUUGAGAAAGCACACCUGGGGUUGGGGAUGGGCCUGGGAGGUCGUGCCCACAAACGGGCGUGCAUUCCUAGGCCGGCCCGGCGAGACCUCUACCCCGGCGGGCACCACCGCCGCCCCGGACUCCCGAUACCCGCUGCCUUGUCGGCGCCUGGGCCCGGCGGACACCCACCCACCCCCGCGCGCGCGCGCGCGCCCCUCGCCUCGCGCCUGGCAGGGCGCUGAGCCGGCGCAUGCUCCGGCCGCCCGGCCUCAGGGCGUCAGCGCGCAUGCCCGGGCUGAGUCCUCAGGCCCCGCGGGCGCCGUGGGCAGCCGGCGCCGAGGCUCAGCAGGGGCAGGGCCGCGCGCGCGCGUGCGCAGACGCGCCGGCGCCGGGGCGCGCGGCGAGCUGAGGAGAAAGCUGCGCGGCGGGCGGAGGUGGGCUCGCGGCCGGCGCCGCAGGAGGAUAAAUGUUCUUGAUGCAAGCAAAACAGGAAUGCUCUGAUCAUUUACCGAAGAUCACUGAGGCAAACAAACCUUUGUGAGAUCUCCAGACAGUGUACCAUCCCAGGCAGAAAGGUUAGUCUGAGGUGCGUGUUUAGUACUUCUGUGCUGAGGACAGUAGCCUCUGGCAAAACAGACAUCAGACUGUGGUAGACUUCCGAGCGCUAGACUUCCAUCUCUCUGUCCCCGUGCAGCUGGAGUUUCAAAUAGCACCUGUUACCCGUUUUUUAAAAAAAUGUCUACAGGAGUCUCAAUAGAUGCCCAUAAUGGAGAAAGCUAAGUCGCUCAGUUGUGUCCGACUGUUUGCGACCCCGUGGAUGUAGCCCACCAGGCUCCUCCGUCCAUGGGAUUCUCCAGGCAAGAAUACUGGAGUGGGUUGCCAUUUCCUUCUCCAGGGGAUCUUCCCGACCCAGGGAUCGAACCCAGGUCUCCCGCAUUGCAGGCAGACGCUUUAACCUCUGAGCAACCAAGGAAGCCCACCCAUAAUGGAGAGAUGGUACCAAAUCCCCAAUACCUCCGGCUUAUUUGGUUCCAGAAAUUUCUGAUUCUGAAGCUGUGACACCUUCCGUUUAUUUCUCCACCCUCAUGCUGUCAACCCUGAUAAACCUUGAGGACAUUAUGAUCAGUGAAAUAAGCCAGACACUAAAGGACAGAUAUUGUAUGAUUCUACUAAUACUAGGUGCCCAAAGUGGUCGAAUUCAUAGAAAGCAGGGUGGUGGUUACCAGGGGCUGGAGGCUGGGAAUUGGGAGUUGGUGUUUAAUGGGUGCAGUUUCAUUUGGAGAGAUGAAAAAGUUCAGAUAUGAUGCUGAUGGUGGUGCAGCCUUGUGAAUGUUCUUAAUGCCACUGAACUGUACACUCACAAAUGUUUAAAAUGGUAACGUUUGUCAUGUAUAUUUUUAACAAUUAAACACAACAAUACAAUUCUGUAAAGCAAUUAUCCUUCAAUAAAAAAGUUAAAAACCACCGCCAUGUUAAGGUGCUUCCUCAAGACACACACAGAUUUCACCUUACAGUUCUUUCCACUCAGUAUUUCUAAAGUAUUGCUUG